rnacentral:rRNA from 1 species
AGUGAACGCUGGCGGUAGGCCUAACACAUGCAAGUCGAACGGCAGCACAGUAAGAGCUUGCUCUUACGGGUGGCGAGUGGCGGACGGGUGAGGAAUACAUCGGAAUCUACUUUUUCGUGGGGGAUAACGUAGGGAAACUUACGCUAAUACCGCAUACGACCUACGGGUGAAAGCAGGGGAUCUUCGGACCUUGCGCGAUUGAUUGAGCCGAUGUCGGAUUAGCUAGUUGGCGGGGUAAAGGCCCACCAAGGCGACGAUCCGUAGCUGGUCUGAGAGGAUGAUCAGCCACACUGGAACUGAGACACGGUCCAGACUCCUACGGGAGGCAGCAGUGGGGAAUAUUGGACAAAGGGCGCAAGCCUGAUCCAGCCAUACCGCGUGGGUGAAGAAGGCCUUCGGGUUGUAAAGCCCUUUUGUUGGGAAAGAAAAGCAGCAGGUUAAUACCCCGCUGUUCUGACGGUACCCAAAGAAUAAGCACCGGCUAACUUCGUG